CCUACGAGUGUCAGCAGUGAGGAAUAUUUGUCAAUGGGCGCGAGCCUGAACCAGCCAAUUAGCGUGAAGGAUGACUGCCCGACGGGUUGUAAACUUCAUUUAUAAAGGAAUAAAGUGAGGCACGUGUGCCUUUUUGUAUGUACUUUAUGAAUAAGCAUCGGCUAACUCCGUGCCAGCAGCCGAGGUAAUACGGAGGAUCCGAGCUUUAUCCGGCUUUAUUGGGUUUAAAGGGAGCGUAGAUGGGUUGUUAAGUCAGUUGUGAAAGUUUGCGGCUGAACCGUAAAAUUGCAAUUGAUACUGGCAGUCUUGAGUACAGUUGAGGUAGGCGGAAUUCGUGGUGUAGCGGUGAAAUGCUUAGAUAUCACGAAGAACUCCGAUUGCGAAGGCAGCUUACUAAACUGCCACUGACAUUGAUGCUCGAAAGUGUGGGUAUCAAACAGGAUGAGAGACCCUAGUAGUC
rnacentral:rRNA from 1 species